ACACAUGCAAGUCGAACGAUGAUGCCCAGCUUGCUGGGCGGAUUAGUGGCGAACGGGUGAGUAAUACGUGAGUAACCUGCCCUUGACUCUGGGAUAAGCCUGGGAAACUGGGUCUAAUACUGGAUACUACCUCUUGCCGCAUGGUGGGUGGUGGAAAGGGUUUUACUGGUUUUGGAUGGGCUCACGGCCUAUCAGCUUGUUGGUGGGGUAAUGGCUCACCAAGGCGACGACGGGUAGCCGGCCUGAGAGGGUGACCGGCCACACUGGGACUGAGACACGGCCCAGACUCCUACGGGAGGCAGCAGUGGGGAAUAUUGCACAAUGGGCGGAAGCCUGAUGCAGCGACGCCGCGUGAGGGAUGACGGCCUUCGGGUUGUAAACCUCUUUCAGUAGGGAAGAAGCGAGAGUGACGGUACCUGCAGAAGAAGCGCCGGCUAACUACGUGCCAGCAGCCGCGGUAAUACGUAGGGCGCAAGCGUUGUCCGGAAUUAUUGGGCGUAAAGAGCUCGUAGGCGGUUUGUCGCGUCUGCUGUGAAAGCCCGGGGCUCAACCCCGGGUCUGCAGUGGGUACGGGCAGACUAGAGUGCAGUAGGGGAGACUGGAAUUCCUGGUGUAGCGGUGAAAUGCGCAGAUAUCAGGAGGAACACCGAUGGCGAAGGCAGGUCUCUGGGCUGUUACUGACGCUGAGGAGCGAAAGCAUGGGGAGCGAACAGGAUUAGAUACCCUGGUAGUCCAUGCCGUAAACGUUGGGCACUAGGUGUGGGGGACAUUCCACGUUUUCCGCGCCGUAGCUAACGCAUUAAGUGCCCCGCCUGGGGAGUACGGCCGCAAGGCUAAAACUCAAAGGAAUUGACGGGGGCCCGCACAAGCGGCGGAGCAUGCGGAUUAAUUCGAUGCAACGCGAAGAACCUUACCAAGGCUUGACAUUCACCGGACCGCCCCAGAGAUGGGGUUUCCCUUCGGGGCUGGUGGACAGGUGGUGCAUGGUUGUCGUCAGCUCGUGUCGUGAGAUGUUGGGUUAAGUCCCGCAACGAGCGCAACCCUCGUUCUAUGUUGCCAGCACGUGAUGGUGGGGACUCAUAGGAGACUGCCGGGGUCAACUCGGAGGAAGGUGGGGAUGACGUCAAAUCAUCAUGCCCCUUAUGUCUUGGGCUUCACGCAUGCUACAAUGGCCGGUACAAAGGGUUGCGAUACUGUGAGGUGGAGCUAAUCCCAAAAAGCCGGUCUCAGUUCGGAUUGAGGUCUGCAACUCGACCUCAUGAAGUCGGAGUCGCUAGUAAUCGCAGAUCAGCAACGCUGCGGUGAAUACGUUCCCGGGCCUUGUACACACCGCCCGUCAAGUCACGAAAGUUGGUAACACCCGAAGCCGGUGGCCUAACCCCUUGUGGGGAGGGAGCCGU
rnacentral:rRNA from 1 species